AGACCGAUCUAGGGGAUCUGGUUGUGGUUCUUCAGUUGCUUGUCGACCAAGAUCUGCUAUGUCUUCUAAUGAUAGCUUGAGGCCUAGGUGUGCUUGAAUUGCAGCAACAUCCUGAACAACUGAUUUCAGGGAUGUUUGGAUAGAUGUUAAAGUAGCUUCCAUCCUUGCAUUGGACUCUAGCAGUUUGGCAUUGUGUGCCAUNN
rnacentral:lncRNA from 1 species